rnacentral:sRNA from 1 species
AAACAUAUAAUCAUCAGUGAUUAUCCAUCUAGUUUUUGAUUUUAUUUAUAUAAGACUUAGCCAUUAAGAGUCUUCCUCCCCAAGCUCAAAACUUCCUCACCAAGUCUUUUGUUCGUAUAUAUAUGGUUGUUCGUUGUUAGUCAUAUGAUAUAAGAAGAAGAGCAAUAAUUCUCUCGCUCUCUACAUUAUUCUCUCGUCCACUUUUCUUUGUUAUUAAAA